GCGUUAACCCCUGGGGCGCCGGCGCGCGGCCAGCGGGGCCGCUCCGGGCGCUGCCCGCCGUGCCCGGCCCGCUGCUAAUGCUGCCGCUGCUGCCGCUGCUGCUGCUGCUGCUGCUGCUGGGCACCGAGCACCGGCGGCCGAGCCGGCGGACAGAGGAAAAUCAAGCCCCAGAAAAGCCUCUCGCAACGGCGGCACCUGUUACUGGACUCACCCUAACGCAGGAAUGAAGGGUAAAAUGCACGCACAGGUAGGUUUAGCUUUGUUUUUUCAGCCACUACAGCCCUCACCUUCACCCGACAGCGCUGUGACAGUGUUUGAUGGCAUAUUCCCUAACCUGGGAGUGAGGCAUGCGGACAGCACAGCAGCUCCCAGCAAGUUUCAGUCUCCAGACUCUUCCACAAUGUUCUUUCAGGUGAACCACUCUUUCUGCAAGUGAGCCAAUUAAUGAUUUACCGUGUUUUGAAGAAACUGGGUCCUACUUUUGAGCAGCAGCAACACAGCUAACAUCAGAUCUCAGGCUGGGAGGAGAGAAGAACCAUGCUCAGAUUGUCUCACCUCAGAAUUCCCAGCUGUAUGAGCACCUUGAGCCCAAAUUCAGUGGACAGUGGGAACAAAAAGAGUUCCACCACAGGAGCCCAUAUUUUCUCUUUUUCUCCAACUCUUGAAAAAAAGGGAAAAGGAAGUGAGGAGAUGUGGGUGGAGCAUUCUAUUCAUCUUGGGCAAAGUACAAACCAACAGGAAAAAAAAGGCUGAAGACAGGGCAAAUACACAGUAGACCUUCAAAGAACCACUAAGGCCAAGGCUCCCUGAGAAUUCAAUUCUUCUUCCACUACUUUCUUCAUGCCAGUCUUCCAAGGAAGUCUUAGACACAACUCAAAAACCUUAUUUACACCUUAGUUAUCCAACUCUCUUAAUACAGGUCAAUCAAACAACAGGUAUAAUUUUUUGGCAUGUGCUUCAAGCCAACAUAUCAUCAAGGAGGAUCCUGAAUAUAUUUCAGCUUUUCUUAAAUACUGUAAAUAGCAGACAAUGUUUGCUAAAAUAUAAAAGAAACCACUGUCUUUUAAGAUGCAAAGAUGAGAACUGGGAGUUGACAAAAUAAAGCCUGAGAGGUUUUUAAUGUUCUCCUUAAGACUGGAAAGGGAAAUUUCUCUACAUUAAGAGUAACAGUUUGACAAAUUUGCAGAAAAUUUCAGCUAAACACAUAAUUAAGCAAUCCAAUGCAGAAGAGCAAAACCAGCAGCACUAUGCAAGUGUAAUGAUGGAAAAUAUUGGAACAGCACGUCUCUCUCCAAAGAGCUGGUUCUCUGGUGCAGUAAUUAAAAAAGAACACAAAAUUCAGGGGGGAAAAAAAUGGAAACUUCAUAGUAGGCACAAAGGGCCUGACAGACUAUUGUGUUGUAUGGUAUUGCUCUAAUUUUACAUAGAUGUAAAGCAAUGAUGAGUCAGGUUUUUCAACUGUACUCAGCCAUUCAGACUUCUGAUCCUUCCAUCAUGGACUUUUUACUAACAACUUAAUCCUAAAUAUCAUAAGUUAAGAUGUUCUCCCCUCUUUUAAGUAAGUAUGCUUUACUACUGAUUGAAGAUAUCAAUUCCCUACUGCAGAUACUAGAGUCCCAAUUACCAACUCUACAUGCUUUAAAUGUUGUUUUCACAGCAUCUCUUGCCUGUGUGUUCUACAAAAGAUCCUCUAAAUAUAUAUUACACUUAUUUGCAACUCAUCUGUAACUGAGCCCAAUGGGAUAAGCAAUAAAUGCCUGCUGACACAAUUUUUAAUUACCCAUCAGAACCGGGUGCAGAAUUAUCUAUCAGAAUGGAACUCCAUGAGGGCCUGCCAUGAUGUCACCAGAUGAUCUCACUGCUCACAGAAAUUCCAAAAGACAUCUUUUGAGCUGAAGGGCACUUUCUGUUCUCCUAUGCCUACAAUCUCCCAGCCCUUCACACCAGCUGCUCAUUCUCUGCUCUCCUUUGCAGGGGGAACAGUAAAAUUCACUGAACUGGCUCCUUUCUGACAUAAUGGCCAGCACUGAUGACAUGCCAGGCCCUCCUCCACAACACCAACAACUGCUCCUACAGUGCAGGAUUUAUUUCUGGUGAAUUAACAGAGACCAGAGUACAAUAAUUUGCGCUAACAAGAAAUUCAUAUGAACAAUUUCCCAUGGUGGGAUACAAACAGAAGACAUUUUAAGGGCAAUAAGACAGCAAUCAACACUUGCUUUUCAGCAUGGAUCAACAGAUUUUCUAUCAAUUUGUAGCUUGCCUUACCUCUUUUACACUGUGUGUUACUGCCCACGUCAGGAAAACCCUUGACAUCACUUGGAAAGCAGUCAGAACAACAGAAGAGGGAACAAUGCCUGGAAGAUAUUUUGCAAUUAGUAAAUAUUCCUGAUUCACAAGGUAACUUAAACAAACCUAAAACUUUUUCAUCCUGGCUGAUGAAGCUUUCACUAACCACCACGGCUACCCAGAGCUGGUGCUUGCCCACAGCAUGAGAAAUUCUUCAGUCAAGUCUAUGCCAAGCCACAAAUCCAAGAAAUUGUAAACACAUCAUGGAGUUACUUCUCCACUCCCAUAAACUUCUCUCGGUUUAUUUCCCAUGCAUGUCAUGGUGCAGUCCCUUUAUGAGCAGUGCAGAAUAACAGCAUAAGCCUCACUCCACAUCUCAGAAAAUUCUGCUUCCAUUCUUUCAGAACUCCAUAUGGAAAUGCCCAACUGUGAAACAAGCCCAGAGCCGCCCUGGUGCCCCAUCCACGUUCCCACUGAGGCCUGUGGUGAUGCUGGAGAUGUGGCAGAGCACGAGGCCACCAGUGCCAGCUCCAGGCUGUGGCUGGUGGCGCUGGGGCAGAGCAGCCUCUGCACAGCACCAGCCAGGGCAGGAGGAGGGCAGCAGCACCACACACAUCAGGGAGGCUCCGCUUUGCCACCUCAGGAGUUUGUGGCCAGCAGCUCUGAGGGGCAGGAGGGGAGGCUUGGCCAAGGUGAACGCGGGACGCUGCAAUAGAGCAUACGAGGAGUGUGCUUUGUGGUAGUAUUUAUUUAGGAACCGUGAGUAACUACAGCCGUAGCGGUCUCAUCUUUGCAAUUCUGAUGGUUUAACAAACAGGGAGAACAUUAGCAUAUUUUUAUUAAGGUACAAAAUACACCCCGUUGUUGCCUAAAACAUUAAAAAAAAAAAAAACAAGUGAGGAAAGCUCUGUAUGCUCUAAAUCAGAUUCAAAACCUUUCUGUAUAAGGAGUUGUGGCAAUACUGUGUUUAGUAUAACAAGAGGUUUUUAUCAAUCGAAAAGAAAAGACAUGCUGGCAAUCUGAACUUAGCAACAAAGAGUAAAGCAGUUACAAACCAUCGUGUCACCCACAUUAGUUGAGCUUUGAAUGUAGAAGAGCAAAUCAUAUGAAACACAUACACAACUAGGUAAUAUCAAACAACCUAAGGUUGGUAAUGUACACACCUGUAUUAAAGUACACUGACUACUUAAUGGUGAGGAUUUAAGGUAAUGUCUUUUUUUUUUUUUUAAAGAGGUAACCUUUGAAAUGCAAAUGGUUGCACUUUACACACAAAAAGUGGAAAAGAAAAAGAAUCACUUUUGGAAUGAUACAUAGAUAUAAGACACACUGGUUUUGGAUUAUGCAUAAUCACCUUGCAGCCUCUGAUAUUACCUCUGAACAACAACAAAAAGAAUUAAAAAGUGCCAAUACUGUGAAAGGAAAGCAAAGUUACUAAGUCUGAGUGCAUUAAGCAUUUCUGAGAAAAAAAAUGGGGUUUGGAUUUUUUUUGUUUGUUUUGUUUUUCUGCGUUUUUAAAAAACGCAACAGCCUUACUUGUGCAGGUUCAAGACGAAAACAAGACAGUCAAGCUCAUAAGGUAGAAAUAGGUCCUAUAUAGGUUAAGAUUCUUUGGAAAUUGCUAAGAAUAGAGGAGUUUGUAAUCCAGGCUACUAUGUUUUUGGCUACUCGAAAAAUCUGUGGGAGUUUCCAGCUUAUCAUCAGUUGAAAUCUGUUUUGCAAUUGCCAAAUAAAUGCAAGUAAAACUUUAACUAACCUGGGAUUCCAUUCACAGACAUGCACAGAGAAAUCA